rnacentral:rRNA from 1 species
AAACUGAAGAGUUUGAUCCUGGCUCAGAUUGAACGCUGGCGGAAUGCUUUACACAUGCAAGUCGAACGGCAGCAUAGAGAGCUUGCUCUCUGAUGGCGAGUGGCGAACGGGUGAGUAAUAUAUCGGAACGUGCCUAGUAAUGGGGAACAACUAAUCGAAAGGUUAGCUAAUACCGCAUACGACCUACGGGUGAAAGCAGGGGAUCUUCGGACCUUGCGUUAUUAGAGCGGCCGAUAUCUGAUUAGGUAGUUGGUGGGGUAAAGGCCUACCAAGCCGACGAUCAGUAGCUGGUCUGAGAGGACGAUCAGCCACACUGGAACUGAGACACGGUCCAGACUCCUACGGGAGGCAGCAGUGGGGAAUUUUGGACAAUGGGGGAAACCCUGAUCCAGCCAUUCCGCGUGAGUGAAGAAGGCCUUCGGGUUGUAAAGCUCUUUCGCAAGAGAAGAAAUCUUACUAUCUAAUAA